UUGAAAAGAGAGUUAAAUAGUACGUGAAAUUGUUGAAAGGGAAGCACUUAUGACCAGACUUGGCCCCGGUGAAUCAUCCAGCGGUUCCCGCUGGUGCACUUUGCCGGGGUUCAGGCCAGCAUCAGCUCGCUCCGGGGGAUAAAGGCUUUGGGAAUGUGGCUCCCUCGGGAGUGUUAUAGCCCAUUGCGUAAUACCUUGUGGCGGGCUGAGGUUCGCGCUUUAUGCAAGGAUGCUGGCAUAAUGGUCAUCAGUGACCCGUCUUGAAACACGGACCAAGGAGUCGUCUUCGUAUGCGAGUGUUCGGGUGUUAAACCCCUACGCGUAAUGAAAGUGAACGCAGGUGAGAGCCCUCCAGGGCGCAUCAUCGACCGAUCCUGAUGUUCUCGGAUGGAUUUGAGUAAGAGCAUACGGGGCCGGACCCGAAAGAAGGUGAACUAUGCCUGUAUAGGGUGAAGCCAGAGGAAACUCUGGUGGAGGCUCGCAGCGGUUCUGACGUGCAAAUCGAUCGUCAAAUAUGGGCAUGGGGGCGAAAGACUAAUCGAACCUUCUAGUAGCUGGUUUCCGCCGAAGUUCCCCCUCAGGAUA
rnacentral:rRNA from 1 species